GAAAAACCAUACAGUUUAUAAAACUUGUACAGAGAAAUGAAGGUCUUCAUUUUUUCCUUUCUGUUCCUUCUUGGUACAGCUUCGCUCGUGUUGGGGGAUUUCUUACCCAAUUGUCCACCUUUUGGAGAGAUAGCAGUUAGUUACUGUGGACUGGGGUUACAAUGUCCUUUGGGAUAUUAUUGUCAUGAAAGAUCCCUGUAUCCAAACAUUUGCUGUAGGAAACAUCUUUAUGGCCAUCACGAGUACUGACGGUGGCCAUCACGUGUACUGACGGUGGCCAUCACGUGUAUUGACGGUGGAGGAGGAAUGGCAUAAAAACAAUGUUGAUCACGCAGAAGACACUGAUUAAACAGAUUCAAUAUUAAA